rnacentral:rRNA from 1 species
GAUGAACGCUGGCGGCGUGCCUAAUACAUGCAAGUCGAGCGAACGGACGAGAAGCUUGCUUCUCUGAUGUUAGCGGCGGACGGGUGAGUAACACGUGGAUAACCUACCUAUAAGACUGGGAUAACUUCGGGAAACCGUAGCUAAUACCGGAUAAUAUUUUGAACCGCAUGGUUCAAAAGUGAAAGACGGUCUUGCUGUCACUUAUAGAUGGAUCCGCGCUGCAUUAGCUAGUUGGUAAGGUAACGGCUUACCAAGGCAACGAUGCAUAGCCGACCUGAGAGGGUGAUCGGCCACACUGGAACUGAGACACGGUCCAGACUCCUACGGGAGGCAGCAGUAGGGAAUCUUCCGCAAAGGGCGAAAGCCUGACGGAGCAACGCCGCGUGAGUGAUGAAGGUCUUCGGAUCGUAAAACUCUGUUAUUAGGGAAGAACAUAUGUGUAUGUAACUGUGCACAUCUUGACGGUACCUAAUCAGAAAGCCACGGCUAACUACGUG